rnacentral:rRNA from 2 species
UGACCUGAGCUCAGGCAAGA